rnacentral:tRNA from 1 species
GCGUCUGUCGUAUAAUGGUUAUUAUCUCUGCCUUCCAAGCAGAGGACGCGAGUUCGAUUCUCGCCAGACGCA